UCGAACGCGAAAGCCCCGCAAGGGGUAAGUAGAGUGGCGAACGGGUGAGUAACACGUGGGUGACCUACCUUCGAAUGGGGGAUAACGUCCCGAAAGGGACGCUAAUACCGCAUAACAUCCUGCUCUUGAACGAGUGGAGAUCAAAGCCGGGGAUCGCAAGACCUGGCGUUUGAAGAGGGGCCCGCGUCUGAUUAGCUAGUUGGUGAGGUAACGGCCCACCAAGGCAACGAUCAGUAUCCGGCCUGAGAGGGCGGACGGACACACUGGGACUGAGACACGGCCCAGACUCCUACGGGAGGCAGCAGUGGGGAAUUGUUCACAAUGGGCGCAAGCCUGAUGACGCAACGCCGCGUGGAGGAUGAAGGUCUUCGGAUUGUAAACUCCUGUUGCCCGGGACGAAACGUUUCGACCUAACACGUCGAGACCUGACGGUACCGGGUGAGGAAGCCCCGGCUAACUCUGUGCCAGCAGCCGCGGUAAUACAGAGGGGGCAAGCGUUGUUCGGAAUUACUGGGCGUAAAGGGCGCGUAGGCGGCCUGCUAAGUCGAACGUGAAAUCCCCGGGCUCAACCCGGGAACUGCGUCCGAUACUGGUUGGCUUGAAUCCGGGAGAGGGAUGCGGAAUUCCAGGUGUAGCGGUGAAAUGCGUAGAUAUCUGGAGGAACACCGGUGGCGAAGGCGGCAUCCUGGACCGGCAUUGACGCUGAGGCGCG
rnacentral:rRNA from 1 species